rnacentral:rRNA from 1 species
CGCGUAGGCGGCGACAGAAGUCGGGCGUGAAAGCCCGGAGCUCAACUCCGGAAUUGCACUCGAAACUUUGUUGCUGGAGGUCGGAAGAGGAGAGUGGAAUACCCAGUGUAGAGGUGAAAUUCGUAGAUAUUGGGUGGAACACCAGUGGCGAAAGCGGCUCUCUGGUCCGAACCUGACGCUGAGGCGCGAAAGCGUGGGGAGCAAACA